UACGAAGGGUGCAAGCGUUACUCGGAAUUACUGGGCGUAAAGCGUGCGUAGGCGGUUUGUUAAGUCUGAUGUGAAAUCCCCGGGCUCAACCUGGGACGUGCAUUGGAAACUGGCGAUCUAGAGUACGGUAGAGGGUGGUGGAAUUCCAUGUGUAGCGGUGAAAUGCGUAGAUAUAUGGAGGAAUACCGGUGGCGAAGGCGGCCACCUGGACCAGUACUGACGCUGAGGCACGAAAGCGUGGGGAGCAAACAGG
rnacentral:rRNA from 1 species